rnacentral:rRNA from 1 species
UACGUAGGGUGCGAGCGUUAAUCGGAAUUACUGGGCGUAAAGCGUGCGCAGGCGGCUUUGCAAGACAGAGGUGAAAUCCCCGGGCUCAACCUGGGAACUGCCUUUGUGACUGCAAGGCUAGAGUACGGCAGAGGGAGAUGGAAUUCCGCGUGUAGCAGUGAAAUGCGUAGAUAUGCGGAGGAACACCGAUGGCGAAGGCAGCCCCCUGGGCUGACACUGACGCUGAGGCACGAAAGCGUGGGGAGCAAACAGG